rnacentral:RNase_P_RNA from 1 species
CCAGACAGCCGGACGGCCGCUGUCGCCGGGGCAAUCCUGGCGAUGGAGGAAAGUCCGGGCUCCACGGGAAUGCGGUGCCGGUUAACGGCCGGCGGGGGCGACCCCAGGGAAAGUGCCACAGAAAACAAACCGCCAGCGCAAGGCCGGCCGGCGUCAGCUAUCCGGACCCCGCAGGCAAGGGCGAAACGGUGCGGUAAGAGCGCACCGCGCUUCUGGUAACAGAAGCGGCACGGUAAACCCCACCGGGAGCAAGACCGAAUAGGGGCGGCUGCGAAUCGAGGGUGGUAACGCUCUCGGCUUCGCAGGGACAUUCCCGUCCCGCCGCCCGGGUUGGUCGCGUGAGGCGCACUGCAAGGUGCGUCCCAGAGGAAUGGUCGUCCCGCCCCCUCAAAGCGGGCGGACAGAACCCGGCUUACAGGCUGUCUGGCGUU